rnacentral:rRNA from 1 species
CUAUGCGCCUUGCCAGCCCGCUCAGUCAGAGUUUGAUCCUGGCUCAGGAUGAACGCUAGCGGCAGGCCUAAUACAUGCAAGUCGAACGGGUCGCAAGACCAGUGGCAAACGGGUGCGUAACGCGUAAGCAACCUGCCUCAUACUGGGGGAUAGCCCGGCGAAAGCUGGGGUAAACCCGCACGGUCCCAUUUUAUCACCUGGUGAGAUGGGUAAACAUUUAUGGGUAUGAGAGGGGCUUGCGUCUGAUUAGUUAGUUGGCAGGUAACGCCUACCAAGACGAUGAUCAGUAGGGGUUCUGAGAGGAUUGGCCCCCACAUGGGUACUGAGAUACGGACCCA